rnacentral:misc_RNA from 1 species
UGGAAUUCUAAUAUUCUUAUUAAAUGGGUAAAAAAUACACAAGUUUCCAUUAGAUGUUAGCGUGUCUACUGUACACCUGUCAGGAUAUUUAACAGGACAGAAAAUCAACCAGAUUUUUUUUCUCUUUUAUUAUUAUUAAUCAAACUUCCUAUUUUCUCUCUUUCAUUAUUAUUACUUUUUCUGAUUUUCUAAGACGUAGACUAUAAGAAAAGAAAAACAAUCACAUAACUCAGCAC